CCCUGUCCCUGCUGCCGCGUCCACGCGAGGCGGCGCGGCUCGAGUGUCCGGGAAGCGUAUGGGACCGAUCCGUGCCGCCCAGACCUGGGCCUCGGCCUCGUCCAUCGUUCCGUUUUAACCUGUCGCGAAGAGUUUGGCCGUUGAAGGAGCACGGCAGUGAGCAAAUGAAUCAAUCCUCAUCCGAACGAAUUUAAUGUUUGGAUAAUAUUGUGGUGACAAGGAGGAAACGACUCGGGUAAUGGAUCCUUCCUUGUGGCCCUGUCCCUUGCUCAGCUGGGUGCUCAGUUCAUCGGGUUUGUGGGGAUGAUAUUGAGAGACCGUGAGUCUCAGGGGAUUACACCCGAUGUUCCUGACAAGGAGACUGCUUGCUUUCAGUUGUGUUGUCACAGAAGACAUUGAGUGGCUGUCCAAUGCUUUCUUUGUUGUGGGUGAUUCGAAACACCGCAAGUGCACAACCGGAAAAUCUCAGGAAUAGAGAUAAGGUGUGGAGCUGGAUGAACAAGCAGCAUCAGAGGAGAAGGAAAGCUGAUGUUUCGGGCCUAGACCCUUCUUCAGAAAUGCUUUUUUUAAUGAGAAAUUACGCCUUCAAAAUGAUCAUUUAAUACGUGUUGUACUCCUCUUGAAGAUAGUUUGAUAUCGUAAGAUUUAUUUUACUUAACAGAAACAACUCAUCCCAAUUGUAAGCGAAAAACAGAAUGCCGAAAAUAUUCGAGAUAACACGGUGUGAAGCUGGAUGAACACAGCAGAUGUCACGGGAUGUGAGUGGCAGUGGCAAGGCCAGCAUUCGUUGCCCACCUCAAUUUGCCAUUGAGAAGAAGAUCCUGCAUCCAUUGAUAUUUGGACUGAUCGUUGCGGAGUUUGAUCCUUUUUGAUUGAAGGAGUUCAGUAAUUUAUUUAUCUAAGAGACCUACAAUGAUUCUGUCGCAAAUGUGCUCUUGAUGUAUCUGUGUGUAUGGAUGUCAGGGAUUAUUGAAGGACAACACAUUAAUUGGAUAUAUACAAGGAGGUUACAAGCCAGUCUCAUUAAACAGAGUUGGAUUAACGAUUUUAUAAGGUAAAUAGAGAGAUUGUAGUGGGAGUAGUGAAACACAUAUUUCAAUAGAAGGAAUUGACGUUUUGGGAAAGGAUCUGGCAAGUGCAAAAGCUGUGGCUUCACCAGAUAUGGUGGGACAACCAGUGGAGGUAAAGGAGCUGAGAUGUUAGAAGAGGAACAAGCUGGAUUGUUAGUUUCCUGACCGUUGUGACAAGAUCAAAAAUCCAUAGAAUUAGAUAAGAAGACUCUGAAACAGGAUGAAAUUCUGGAAAUCGAGGUAUCGGGUACAGGUUUUUAAAAUAAUUGACUUUGAAGGAUGAAGGUAAAGAGAAUGAAGCUUUAACAGAAGAAUAGUGAUAACUGAGAAGUGGCUCCUAAUGGCAUUAAUUUUAUAGAUAUUGAUAUCUUUAUCAACAAUGGCAUUACUCACCCGACUGGCAGUGCGAGAGCCCAAAAGAUUUACAAUCCUAUCAAGCUUCACAGCUGUUUCAUUCUAAACAGAGGUAUAAAACAUGCCCCUGUCCUGUCCAACAUUGUUCUGCAUCAUCCGCACCAUCAAGUAAUACAAAGGAAAACAGAAAACAGAAUCAGAAAUAAAACAGCCGAUUCAGAUUGAAUCUAAAACUACAUCUGAAUAUUAUUAUUUGAACAUCAAAGUACUGAUAAGAACAUUGGAGACCACCUCAAAUACCAGCCAUUCAGUAAUGGUCACUGGGCUACCAGAUGGUAAUUCCAACUGAGCAUCAUAAUAAAAUUUUAUGAGUGACACACGAAAUUCCAAUGGCAGAUCAUUUCAGAAAACACAGGUUAAAAUGUUAAAACUUUUAUAGGUCAGGAUUACAUAAAGAUAUAGAUAAAUCUUACCAUAUCAGGUAGUGAGGAAACCCAAACCUCAAUUAGUUCAAUUACCAGUUUUUAAAAACAUUUGACAGGAUCUUUAUUGGUUUUUGGAGAUCCUCUACUUAAAACCAGGAAUGGGAAUCAGUAUCUUUUAACAAUUAUGGAUUUUUCCACAAGAUUUCCUGAAGGUAGGGAAAUUAUUUAGGUAAAUUAUUGUAACAGGUAUCAUAGAGGUAGAAAGGUUAUCCCCAUUUUUGACAAAAUAUGGAUUACCUCAAAAAAUUCAAUCAGACCAAGGCUCAAAUUUUAUGUCACAAAUAUGCAAAUGAAUGUUAGUUUGGUAAUAAUGUAGUUUAGGAAUAAAACAAUUUACAUCUUCUGCUUGUCACCCAAAAACACAUGGUGCAUUUGAAAGGUGGCAUCAAACAUUAAACACCAUGAUUAGAGUUUACUACCAAGAAUAUCCUAAUGAUUGGGACAAGGGAAUUCCUUUGUUACUAUUUAGCAUUCAGGACUCUCCUAAUGGGUCCACAAGAUUUAGCGGUAAAAGGACCACUUAAACUAAUAAGGAAAAAUUGAGAAACGAAAGCUCAGAAUUAAUCCUUCUGAUCCAUGUUUUGAAUUUCAAAGAAAAAUUAACAGGCAUAUCUGAGCUGAAAAGUAUUUGAAGUUUUCUCAAAAAACAAUGAAAACUUGAACAGACAAAAAGGCCAAUUUGUAGCUGGAAACAAGGUGUUAGUAUUGUUAUGUGUCUCUUAGGAAUCAUUCAAUAUAAGGUUCAAUGGGCGUUGUUGAAUUUUUAAAAAACCCAGAAACAUGCAAAUUAUACAGUGAGUACUCCAGACAGAAGAAAGAAUCAUCAAGUGUGUCAUGAUAUGUUGAAAGAUAUGACAGGAACAAUUGUCAGGUGUAGAGCGUAUUUAUGGUAGUGAAAAAUUAGGGAGUGAAAGCUGUAUUAGCAGUACAGUUAGACAUGUGAAUCAGAAAUUGAAAAUUAAAAUGCUGACCCUCCAAUAAUCAGAUUUGAAAACAGACAUGUUUGAAAGGUGCAGUUGUCAGCUUUCAAGAUUUCAAGGGCACUUUGACACUCUUGUGUCCAUUUUGUUUUAUCUUUCAGAAAAUUAUCAAAGUGUAUGAAGGAUAUUACAGAAUAUUUGGGGAAAAGCCAAGGAAUAUGGCCUUGGCUGUCCAUGAUGUUUAUGUGGGAAAUGUGUUAACUAUAAAAUAACUUUACAGACUCAUCCAGAGAGAUUAGCUCCUGAGGGAGGGGAUUAGGUUAUGACAGGAAAUGAUAUUAUUGAAACAUAGCUGGACCACGCCAAUUUUGAAAGUGCUGAAACUGGAUGAGUCACAAAUAAUCUAUAUUGAUUAUCAUAAAGUCAACAUAGUAACAAAGGUGGGCGCACAUCCAAUGGAGGACUGCAUUGAAUGAAUUGAACAAAUAUGAUUUGUCACAAAAACCAACCUGCUAAAGGAUAUUGGCAAGUUCCAUGGACUGGUAGAGGCAAACAAAUGUCAACUCUUAUUAAACUGGAUGAACUUUAACAACGUAAAGUCAAAUACCAAAAAUCGUCAAUGAUUAACCAGUACAGUCAUUGUUUACUGUAUUGUUUACAUCAAGAACCUGGUUGUUUAUAGUUAAGCUGGGAAGAAAAUUUAACUUGGGACAUAGUUCAUGACUGUUAAGAACAAGGAUACCUCAGUUUUAAAAUAAAACCCUUCACGUAUCAAGGCACACAAGAUACACUUAACUUGAACCUUUCGAUCUGCUACAAAAAGAAACUUGGUUAUAAAUCAAGCCAAGAAUGAAUUUGCCAAAAAAAGAUGAUUUAUUUGAGCCUUACUGUGGGACAAGGCCAAGUAUUAUCUCGAGAGGUGAAAGUGUUAGCUAUUUUGGAAUUUCCCAGGCAGAUGACAAAAUAGGAAAUUUUGUGUUAUGUUGACAUGAGUGGAUUUUAUUGCAAAUUUGUUCCAAUCUUCAGCACUGUUGUUACACCUUUAACAGAUUUGUUGAAGGAAUACAGAAAAUUUGAAUGGACUCAAGAAUGUCAAAGUGCCUUCGAAAACUUCAAAUCUGUGCUGACAACUGCACCAGAUUAAGCUGCACCUAAUUAUGAGAAUUCAUUCCAACUGGCUGCUGAUGUCAGGGACAUUAGUGUUGGGUUGUUUUACUGCAAAAUGACAAGAUGGGAACUGAAUAGCCUGUCAGUUACUUUUCAAAGAAAUUGGCCACAUGCAGCAAAAAUAGUCAGCAGUGGAGAAGAAGAGAAUAAGUUAUGUGCUGGCUCUAUGCCAUUUUGAGAUUCACAUCACCAAUAAUUUGAAAUGAACCGUUACUUAUGUCAACCACAAUCUUCUGAUUUUCUUAGAAUUUUUUUUAAGAGGAGGACUUACUAUUAUUUUGAUUGAGCAUAAUUCUCCAACUGUGUAAAUUGAGAAUUAUUCAUGUGGCUGGAAAAUAAAAUGUUAUAGCAGAUACUUUAUCAGAGAACAUUCAAUGAAUAUUGAGUGAUGAGUUACCUAUGGACUUAUGUAAAACAUGGUUACUGUGUAACUCAUUGCUUGUUUAGUGUCAAUAUGUUGCUACUACUAAUAUCAUUUAACAAUAGCAUUGAGAUAAUUUUGGGUGUGUAAUGAAAAUACAUUUAAAGAUACAUUUUCAUUCUUCUUCAGUAGGAGGUGUGAUGUAAGAUGUGUGAUUUAUAUUCAUUUUAAUAUAAUUUAUUUGGGAUGAAACAAAAUAUUGGAGACCUCCUGGACAAUACUGGGGUUUGUUUAUAUUGGGAGAGUUGACAAGUGAACAAAUAAACAGUGUGGUGUAUUGACUUUCAGAUAGACUUUUUUGAGGUUGGGUGUCUUGAAGGAAACACGCAGAGCUGAGAAGAAAGUUUUUUAAUUUCACUUUGGGCAGCUUAACAGAAGUCUGGGAUGAACUGGAUAUGUGAACCAGUUGCUCCUGAGAAAGGGGCAUAGUUCAUGACUGUUAAGAAAAAGGAUACCUCAGUUUUAAAAUAAAACCCUUCACGUAUCAAGGCACACAAGAUACAAUAACUCAGAGAUGCCCACAGCCCUCCAGGACCUUCUUCCCCUUCCCUCUGACUCCAUCCCCUCCCCCAACCCCACCUCCCGUCAGGUAUUCACAAUCCCUCCUGACCUUCCGCUCUCCAAUGCUGAAUGUUUUGUACUCAGCAAAGUCUGUUUUAUCCUUCUGCUUCUCCACCUUAAUGAAAUUCAGAAAAGACAUGAUGUUGAACUCUUCUUCUGUCACCCUCGCCUUUGCCUCCCUACCCCACAGACCCUUUCACCCAUCUCCAACACACUCUUUCCACUUGGACCCCUCCCUCUGGCCAUUUACCUGCACUCAAACUGUUCAUUGAGAACUGUCAAAGUUGCAUUUGUUGCCUCAAUUUCUCUGUUCCCCCUUACCCAUUCCAACCUAUUCUCUUGGGAACUGAGUGUAGUCUAUGCUCUCAGACCCAACCCUGACUUUGCAACUGAGCCUGCUGAUAAGGAUUGUGUUGUUAUAGUCUGGUGGACUGACCUCUAUAUUGCAGAGGCUGAGAGCUACCUGUCAGAUAUCUCUCCCCACGAUGGAACAUCAGGCCAUUGUGACAAAUUUGGUCACCAAUCUCAUGUCUUCCUGGUGAGCUCAGCACUCCCCCCACCCCACCAAACUGCCUCUAAUAUUUGUCUCCCAAAUCCAUACAGUUCGCUUUUACCUCCUUCCCAAAAUCCACAAACCAGACUGCCUGGCCAGACCAAUUGUUUCUGCUGCCCACAGAACUCAUCUCUUCUGACAUUGAGUUGGUUUUUUCUCCCCUAGUCCAGUGUCUGCCUACCUACAUCCACAAAUCCUCUGACGCUUCACACCCGUUUCAGAAUUUCCAGUUUGCAGACUCCAGCCGCCUCAUCUUUACCGUGGACAUACAAUCCCUUUACACAUCUAUCCCCCACCAGGUGGUCUCGGGGCUCUCCGCUUCUUCCUGGAGCAAAGACCUGAACCAUUCCCAUCCACCACCAGUCGCCUCCACCCAAUUGAGCAUAUCAUCACCCUGAACAACUUUUCUUUUCAACUUCCCUCAUUUUCUUCAGGUCAGAGGGAUGGCCAUUGGGUAUUCAGUUAUGCCUAUGUCUUUGUGAUGCACAUGGAACAUUCCUUGUUCCAGUCCUAUCCCAGCCCCUAUGCACAACUCUUGAGUAUUUCGAUGGUAUCAACAGUGCUGCAUCCCUCUCUUGUCCAGAAUUGGAAAUGUUUGUCAAUUUCACUUCCAUUUUUCAUUCUGUUCUCACCUUCACCUAUUCCACCUCUGACUUCUCCCUUCCCUUUCUCAGCACCACCUUUUCCAUUUCUGGAGAUAGGUUGGCCACCAAUAUUCACUAUAAACCCACCAGCUCCCAUAAACCCACAGCUUGACAAUACAUCCUCACACCACCCUUCCUAUUGAGACUCUGUUCCAUCCUCCCAGCCCCUCCAUCUCCAUUGCAUCUGUUCUGAUGAUGCCACUUUCCGAAAGGGAGUCUCUGAAAUGUCCACCUUCUUUCUCCGCAGAGGAUUUCCAACACUAUUAUUGACAGGGCCCUCAACCAGGUCUGACCCAUCUCCCACACUUCGACCUUGACCACCUCUUUUCCCUCCUGAGAGAGAGAUAGGAUUCCCCUUGUCCUUCUCUAACAUCUCACCGGCAUCCACAUCCUGAUGAUCAUCAGAUGCCAUUUCUGCCACCUCCAGUGAGAUGCCACCACCAGACACAUUCUCCUCCCCUCCCCUGUCAGCCUUCCACAGUGACAAGUCAACUUUUCCUUCACUCCCAACAAUCCCCAUAGCUUCACUAUACAUUCCCCUGCAACCGCAGAAGGUAUAACACCUCUCUGUUUACUUCCUGUCACCUCAGUAUCAAAGCGCUCAAACACACCUUCCAGGUGAAGCAGUGCUUUACCUGCAUUUCACACAAUCUAGUCCACUACAUUAGCUGCUCACAAUGUGGUCUCGUCUACUUUGGGGAAAUGAAGCAUAGGCUAGGUGAUUGUUUUGUAGAACAUCUGUCUGCAAAAAAGACCCUGAGCUUCCAGUUGCCUGCCACUUCAGCACACCACUCUGCUCCCUGGCCAACAUCUCUGUCUCAGGUUUCCUGCAGUGCUCCAGCAAAGCUCAGCACAUGCUGGAAGGACAGCGCCUCAUUUUCCUCCUGGGGACCCUGCAGCCUUCCAGACACGGUAUUGAGUUUGAUAACUUGAGUGCUUGAGCUCUCCGAUGUCCUUAUCCCAACGACCCCACCUAACAGGCUUUGUUAUCAUGUAAUCUGCUAUUACCAUUGUUAGCCACUAACAGUCCCCAUUCAUAGCUGUUCAUCCUCCUCACUAGAUCAUUAUCCACUCCUUUGUUUGUCCAAAUGUUCUUCCCUCUAUUUGGGCUCUAUCCCCACCUAUCGUUUACUCAUUACCCCCUCCAUCCACCCUACCUUCUGUAUAUAAACUGAGUUUUUCCUAGCCAUCAUCUAGGCAGGGUCACUUAACCCAAAACAUUAACUCUGAUUUCUCUCCACAAUGCUGCCAGAUCUGCUGAGCUUUUCCAGCAAUUUCUGUUUUUGCCUCAGUUGAAGAUGUUUAGUUUAAAAGUUCCAGAACAGACAUGUUAGAUUAAAACAUUGAAUAUGUUAUGUGAAGUAACAAAGUCUAAUCUUAGUUAUAUGAUUAUUCAAAUAAGAGGCUAUCAGAUUGACCAGGCAUUGAAGCCACAGUUAAGUAAAACCCAAUGUGGGACAAAGAAAAGAAUUCUCCCCGAUGUUUGAUACUGUAAUGGUGUGCUGUUGGAAUUAAUGGUGUUGUAAUUUU